rnacentral:lncRNA from 1 species
GGCCUACAGCUAACAUUGUAGUUAAACCACAAGGAGGACCAGAGGGCUGGCCUACAGCUAACAUUGUAGUUAUAACAGCAGGAGGACCAGAGGGCAGGCCUACAGCUAACAUUGUAGUUAUAACAGCAGGAGGACCAGAGGGCUGGCCUACAGCUAACAUUGUAGUUAAACCACAAGGAGGACCAGAGGGCUGGCCUACAGCUAACAUUGUAGUUAAACCACCUGGAGGACCAGAGGACUGGCCUACAGCUAACAUUGUAGUUAAACCACCAGGAGGACCAGAGGGCUGGCCUACAGCUAACAUUGUAGUUAAACCACCAGGAGGACCAGAGGACAGGUCUACAGCUAACAUUGUAGUUAUAACAGCAGGAGGACCAGAGGACAGGCCUACAGCUAACAUUGUAGUUAAACCACCAGGAGGACCAGAGGGCUGGCCUACAGCUAACAUUGUAGUUAAACCACCAGGAGGACCAGAGGACAGGCCUACAGCUAACAUUGUAGUUAAACCACCAGGAGGACCAGAGGGCUGGCCUACAGCUAACAUUGUAGUUAUAACAGCAGGAGGACCAGAGGACAGGCCUACAGCUAACAUUGUAGUUGAACCACCAGGAGGACCAGAGGACAGGCCUACAGCUAACAUUGUAGUUAAACCACCAGGAGGACCAGAGGGCAGGCCUACAGCUAACAUUGUAGUUAUAACAGCAGGAGGACCAGAGGGCUGGCCUACAGCUAACAUUGUAGUUGAACCACCAGGAGGACCAGAGGGCUGGCCUACAGCUAACAUUGUAGUUAUAACAGCAGGAGGACCAGAGGACAGGCCUACAGCUAACAUUGUAGUUAAACCACCAGGAGGACCAGAGGACAGGCCUACAGCUAACAUUGUAGUUAUAACAGCAGGAGGACCAGAGGGCUGGCCUACAGCUAACAUUGUAGUUAAAUCACCAGGAGGACCAGAGGACAGGCCUACAGCUAACAUUGUAGUUAUAACAGCAGGAGGACCAGAGGGCUGGCCUACAGCUAACAUUGUAGUUAUAACAGCAGGAGGACCAGAGGGCUGGCCUACAGCUAACAUUGUAGUUAAACCACCAGGAGGACCAGAGGGCUGGCCUACAGCUAACAUUGUAGUUAAAC